UACCAGCACCCCGAGUGGUCGGGACGUUUAUUGGGCCUAAAGCAUCCGUAGCCGGUUCUACGAGUCUUCCGUUAAAUCCAACUGCUUAACAGGUGGGCUGCGGAAGAUACUAUAGAGCUAGGAGGCGGGAGAGGCAAGCGGUACUCAGUGGGUAGGGGUAAAAUCCGUUGAUCCAUUGAAGACCACCAGUGGCGAAGGCGGCUUGCCAGAAUGCGCUCGACGGUGAGGGAUGAAAGCUGGGGGAGCAAACCGG
rnacentral:rRNA from 1 species